GGGACAUUAGUUAUUAGCAGGGCUAAUAAAGCCCAGGAAGUGUUCACUAACAAAAUGUCUAGUCACUGACUAAACUGGCUGGUUUCUCAACAUAGUCUGGCUCAUUGUAACAAUAUAGAGAGCUCUUUGUUCAUAGACCUUAAUCUGUUGCCAAAAUGUUUGUACCUUAUGUUCCCAUUUCACAAGGAUUUCUGGUCAAAACUGUGCACCCACAGCCUCCUAAUGAACCAAGUGUCCAACAAAACAAGGAUUUUUGGUCUCCUUAUGAAGGCCAUUGUGUCUUCAUAGGACCUCUCUGUCCAGGAACAUCCCUAAUGAGGUACGGAAAGGCACUUACUACCCAGACACAGACAUUCCGCUGCUGUGAGAACCGCAGACGGAAGUUUUCUCUGCCUCCUGGAAAGGAAGCCAAGCUUUCUCCUCUCGGAAGCCAUGAGGAUUGCUGUCUUCCUCUGUACCAUUCUUCUCUCUCUGAGCCAAGUUCCACCAGAAAAUAUGCUUGGGGGCAUGCCUAUUCUUGGCGAAUCCAGACUUGCCUGUCGAAAUCCGUGUUUUAAAGGAAUACUUACUGGGAACAGGAAGCAGCAUAUGAGGGAAAAAGGACGUGAUGGCCCUUCACUUCCACAAAGUCACGGGCCAGCCACCUUCAUUGCCAGGGAACAGACAUAAAGCCCCAAACACAGCAUUUGCAUGUGGUGGAGGAGAGGUUUCCUACGUGGGACCUUUAGAAAAUGACUAAAAGAAAGCCGGGGGCAAAUUCAAGGAGAUCUGUGAGCGUCCAAACGGCUCCUGCCAAGUAUUCUGCCUCGAAACAGAAGUCCAGGCUGGGAGAUGUCUAAGCGGCCAGCCGUGCUGCCUGCCCAUGGGACACCAAUCACGGAUCGACCCGACGAUACCCCCUCAGGACUGAGGCCUUUCAAAGGGUCUUGCUUGUUUGGAUGUUUCAUUCUCUGGUUCUCCAUCUCCAUCUCCCACUGUCUUGUCUUUCACAGGGAUUCUUGCUGAGUCCUCAAUAAAUAAUAAAGAAGCACUCGCAAACACAGAGCCACUGUGUACACCCAUGUGCUCUAUUCUCGCUG